rnacentral:rRNA from 1 species
GGAUGCGAUCAUACCAGCACUAAAGCACCGGAUCCCAUCAGAACUCCGAAGUUAAGCGUGCUUGGGCGAGUGUAGUACUAGGAUGGGUGACCUCUUGGGAAGUCCUCGUGUUGCAUUCC